GCCUACGACCAUCUCACCCUGAAUGCGCGCAAUCUCGUCUGAUCUCGGAAGCUAAGCAGAGUCGAGCCUGGUUAAUACUUGGAUGGGAGACUGCCUGGGAAUACCAGGUGUUGUAGGCU
rnacentral:rRNA from 1 species